rnacentral:rRNA from 4 species
CAACUUUCAGCAACGGAUCUCUUGGCUCUCGCAUCGAUGAAGAACGCAGCGAAUUGCGAUAAGUAAUGUGAAUUGCAGAUUUUCAGUGAAUCAUCGAAUCUUUGAACGCACCUUGCGCUCCUUGGUAUUCCGAGGAGCAUGCCUGUUUGAGUGUC